rnacentral:rRNA from 1 species
UACGUAGGGUGCGAGCGUUAAUCGGAAUUACUGGGCGUAAAGUGUGCGCAGGCGGCGUCGCAAGUCGAGUGUGAAAAGCCCCCGAGCUUAACUUGGGAAUUGCGCUCGAAACUACGGUGCUGGAGUAUGGCAGAGGAAGGUGGAAUUCCACGUGUAGCGGUGAAAUGCGUAGAGAUCGGGAAGAACAUCAGUGGCGAAGGCGGCCUGCUGGGCUGUUGCUGACGCUGAGGCGCGACAGCGUGGGGAGCAAACAGG